AAAGUUAAACACUUGAUCUUUUGUUCAUUUUAUUUUGAUGUUUUGUUAGUUUUAAUCAGUUUUUUUUUGUCAACUAUAAUUUUAUGAUUUUAGAUGAGUAAUGCUAAAAUGUCACAAUUUGUGGAUGUGAUGCUUUAAAAGUAUCAAAAUACUGAAAUCAUUUGGGUAUCUACAACAGGCAGAGCUGACCAUUGACAAUUGUAUCUGUUUUAUUUAAACCCUAUCUUUUAAUUUUUCAAUCGUUUAGUCAAGAACGAAAGUGACAAACAUUAUUUUAGGAACACGUGUUGUUUGCAAGGAAAUGUAACUUGGGAAUUCUAAUUUCCCGGGGGUAUCACCAGCCCA
rnacentral:lncRNA from 1 species